rfam:Punica granatum cultivar Dabenzi scaffold289, whole genome shotgun sequence.
AGGCAACCUCCCUGCGGCGGCCAUGGCAGGGAAGGUGUUUAACUGCUCGGAAAUCGAUUUGCUUUUGCUCUUCAGACUUGCUGAGAUUGCUCUCUGAAGCUGGUCUAGUAAGCUCUAGUACAUC